CCCGCAGACCCCGAGGGCGAAGCAGCACCGAGUCGUAAACAGGGUUGUUAUUACUCAGGUACGGUGUGAUGAACUUUAUUAAUCCCGGUGUGGGGAAUUAUUAUUGUAUUAUUGAUCCUUAAUACAUGGAAGUAUUAUAGCACAGCGGUGACACGGGAAACGAACGUGACCAUGUCAUGGUGGAACGAAUUAUGAUGAACCAGGCUGUGGGGCAUCUGCUGACCACUCCCCUGCGAUGGACCGUACCCACGUCUGAUGUUUUCCUCACCACUCCACAUUCCCCACCUCGCAGGAAUGCGUCUGCGGGGAACUACAGUACCCACAAUGCCCCAGGCCUGCGCUACCAGGAUUAAUCAUGGCUAGUUUGGUAAUUUGGAGAACCUAACCCAAACACAGGGUGGCGUUGUGCAAUCCUCAACUGGCCUGUGAUUGGCUGGAGGUUAUAAAGCGGGACAUUAAUAUCUCGUGUGUGUGAACGUAGACACACACUUGCACACACACUCACAGGACGCAGCAACAGGUUUCAUCAUGAUGCCGUGCGUGUUCCUCAUCCUUCUCCUUCCACCUGUUCUCUCUGUGCCGGUGCCGCAGUAUAAAAUAGACAGCAACAGCAAUAGCAUGGAGUCCAUCCCUCGCCCUCCAGUCAUUCCAAUAGUCCCUCGACCUCCAGUGUCCAAUCCAAUCGCACCGCGGGCGGGUCCACGGAUCCCGCCUCUCAGCCCUCUUAAACCACCCACUACAACGCGGCAGAUGCCCAUCCGGAGCGCCUCUCCCGUCCCCGGUGCCGCAAACGCAGUUCCGGCCCUGCCACAGCAGUCUGGCAUGAACCCGCUGUUCCCCCCUUUCCCGCCGGUGAGCAACCCUGGACCUGCCUUUCCCAGCUCUCCACAACGUCCUGGCCUCCAGGAAAAUUCCAGAUUUCCACCUAUUUUUGCACAGCAGGACGAGUUCAAAGGUCAGCCAGUAGUCGAAGCUAAAACUGCAGACGCCUUCAGUCCCUUAGAAGACGACAAUGUCCUGGUGUACUGACCACAUCUUCUGGAAACGGAUCUUCACCGGUCACCCUGCUGCAUAACUAAUAAAACAUGUGCCAGACAAAGUCA
rnacentral:lncRNA from 1 species